AGGCCACCAUCUCCCCCAUAGAUAUCUAUGAUCUCUUCGGGCCGUCAUUCUGCGUCUGUUACGUCUGACGUCAUCGCGUCAGCUGGCCGAAUGUUUACAUCCAGCAGUGAGUUUGUGACUGAAUCUGGAUCCACAACAACAAAAGACUGAAGAGAAGCAGACCCGCUGAGACGGAUCGGACCAGUCUGCAUCUCCACAAGUCAGGAUGGGUGGAGCUGUUAGUGCCGGUGAGGACAACGACGACCUGAUUGACAACCUGAAGGAGGCGUACUACAUCCGAUCAGACCUGGUGGAGCGAGCGUUCAGAGCUAUUGAUCGGGCCGACUAUUACCUGGAUGAAUACAGGGACAACGCUUAUAAGGACUUGGCGUGGCGCCAUGGAAACAUCCACCUGUCUGCUCCGUGUAUCUACUCUGAGGUGAUGGAGGCUCUGGACCUCCAUCCAGGGAUCUCCUUCCUCAACCUGGGCAGUGGGACGGGCUACCUCAGCACCAUGGUGGGCCUCAUACUGGGACCGUUUGGAGUGAAUCAUGGAAUAGAGCUCCAUGCUGAUGUGAUUGAUUACGCCUACCAGAAGCUCGACUCCUUCAUCAAAACCAGCGACAGCUUCGACAAGUUUGAGUUCUGCGAGCCGUCCUUCGUGGUGGGGAACUGUCUGGAGAUCCCUCCAGAGAGCCGUCAGUACGACCGGGUCUACUGCGGCGCCGGAGUCCAGAAGGAGCACGAGGACUACAUGAAGAACCUGCUGAAGGUGGGAGGCAUCCUGGUGAUGCCUCUGGAGGAGAAGCUGACUAAGAUCACCCGUACGGGUCUGAACAGCUGGGAGACCAAGAAGAUCAUCUCCGUGUCCUUCGCUCCUCUCAUGCUGCCCAAACACAGCACCAACGGGAAACCCAAGACCGUCCCACUACCUAAGUACGAGGUGCGGACGCUACAGGAGCUAGCUCGUAUCUGCAUCCGCCACACGCUGCGAGUGACGCCAGACGGAGGAGACGCGGGGUCCCGGGGCCGCGGCUCCUCCUUCAGCGUGGGGCGGGGCCUCGCCGUGGCCGGCCUCCACAAGUACGGCCCCCGCUUCAAACGCCGGCGCGUCCACCGGCGCCACUGCAACGCCCUGGUGCUCGCCACGCGGCAGGUGGUGGCCAGCAGCGGGAUAGGCCCCGCCCCCCUGGACAGCAACAACAACCAGGGAGGAGGAGGAGGAGGAGCUGAGGAGGAGCAGGAGGAGGAGGUGGUAGGAGAGAGGGAGGCCAACAGGAGGCAGCUGAGAGGAAGGAGAGUGGGGAGAGGAGGAGGAGGCGUGGUGGAGGAGGAGGAGACGGUGGAGGAGGAAGAUGAAGAGGAGGAGCAGGAGGAGGAGGAGGAGAAGGAGACCGGGGAGCUGCUCCGACCCCAGCCGGCCCUGAACCUCCUCAGGGAGAGAAUACUGGGCCUCCCCCUGCCAGAACCCCUCAAGAUGUACCUCCUCUACUACAGGGAGAAAUGAACCGGGUCGGACCAGAACCAGGUCUGAUCAGGACCAGGUCUGAUCAGGACCAGGUCUGAUUAGAACCAGGUCUGAUUAGAACCAGGACUGAUCAGAACCAGGUCUGACCAGAACCAGGUCUGAUCAGAACCGGGUCUGAUUAGAACCAGGUCUGAUCAGGACCAGGUCUGAUUACAACCAGGUCUGAUUAGAACCAGGUCUGAUAAGAACCAGGUCUGAUUAGAACCAGGUCUGACCAGAACCAGGUCUGAGACCUCCAGAGGCUCUCUAGUCUCUGACAGGACAAGUCCAGCUCCUCCACAGAGCUUUUUCUCUCUUUUCUCCAUCAUCCAUUCUUUCUCUCUCUCUCUUUCUACUCUUCCCUCGUUCUUCUUUCCUCCAUUAGUUCCCUGAUGCUUUAAAGAGUCGGUCCAUUUGGGGGGGGGGGGGGG